CCGUGUAUCCACGUACAAACAAUGUGAACUGUUCCCAAUGGAAAUAAAUGUUAUGAAGGCUUGCUGGUGGCGGUUCAGGAUUUUUAUCUCGAACUGAGUCUUCAUAACGGCUUCGCGAAAGCGAAAGCAAGUUCAUUCCCAUUGAGUUACUCACCAUCGGUUGUGAAACCUUAUUUAACACUAUGUACCUUUUGAAUUAAACUAUUCUUCGAUACCACAGAAGCCUUGUUGGCUUAGCCACGGCUGAAGGGUUCGUAGAAAUUGAUACCAAAUUAAGAA
rnacentral:misc_RNA from 1 species